GAUGAAGAACGCAGCGAAAUGCGACAAGUAGUGUGAAUUGCAGAAUUCAGUGAAUCAUCGAAUCUUUGAACGCACAUUGCGCCCUUUGGUAUUCCAAAGGGCAUGCCUGUUCGAGCGUCAUUUGUACCCUCAAGCUUUGCUUGGUGUUGGGCGUCUUGUCUCUAGCUUUGCUGGAGACUCGCCUUAAAGUAAUUGGCAGCCGGCCUACUGGUUUCGGAGCGCAGCACAAGUCGCACUCUCUAUCAGCAAAGGUCUAGCAUCCAUUAAGCCUUUUUUUCAACUUUUGACCUCGGAUCAGGUAGGGAUACCCGCUGAACUUAAGCAUAUCAAUAAGCGGAGGA
rnacentral:misc_RNA from 1 species